AGCGAACGCUGGCGGCAGGCCUAACACAUGCAAGUCGAACGAACCUUUCGGGGUUAGUGGCGGACGGGUGAGUAACACGUGGGAACGUGCCUUUAGGUUCGGAAUAACUCAGGGAAACUUGUGCUAAUACCGAAUGUGCCCUUCGGGGGAAAGAUUUAUCGCCUUUAGAGCGGCCCGCGUCUGAUUAGCUAGUUGGUUGAGGUAAUGGCUCACCAAGGCGACGAUCAGUAGCUGGUCUGAGAGGAUGAUCAGCCACAUUGGGACUGAGACACGGCCCAAACUCUUACGGGAGGCAGCAGUGGGGAAUCUUGCGCAAUGGGCGAAAGCCUGACGCAGCCAUGCCGCGUGAAUGAUGAAGGUCUUAGGAUUGUAAAAUUCUUUCACCGGGGACGAUAAUGACGGUACCCGGAGAAGAAGCCCCGGCUAACUUCGUG
rnacentral:rRNA from 1 species